rnacentral:rRNA from 1 species
GAUGAACGCUGGCGGCGUGCCUAAUACAUGCAAGUCGAGCGAACAGAUAAGGAGCUUGCUCCUUUGACGUUAGCGGCGGACGGGUGAGUAACACGUGGGUAACCUACCUAUAAGACUGGAAUAACUCCGGGAAACCGAUGCUAAUGCCGGAUAACAUUUAGAACCGCAUGGUUCUAAAGUGAAAGAUGGUUUUGCUAUCACUUAUAGAUGGACCCGCGCCGUAUUAGCUAGUUGGUAAGGUAACGGCUUACCAAGGCAACGAUACGUAGCCGACCUGAGAGGGUGAUCGGCCAAACUGGAACUGAGACACGGUCCAGACUCCUACGGGAGGCAGCAGUAGGGAAUCUUCCGCAAUGGGCGAAAGCCUGACGGAGCAACGCCGCGUGGGUGAUGAAGGUCUUCGGAUCGUAAAACUCUGUUAUUAGGGAAGAACAAAUGUGUAAGUAACUGUGCACGUCUUGACGGUACCUAAUCAGAAAGCCACGGCUAACUACGUG